UGGGGAAUCUUGCACAAUGGGGGAAACCCUGCUGCAGCGACGCCGCGUGAACGAUGAAGCCCUUCGGGGUGUAAAGUUCUUUCGACAGGAACGAUAAUGACGGUACCUGGAGAAGAAGCUGCGGCUAACUACGUGCCAGCAGCCGCGGUAAUACGUAGGCAGCGAGCGUUGUUCGGAGUUACUGGGCGUAAAGAGUGCGUAGGCGGCGAGCCAAGUUUGGUGUGAAAUCUCCCGGCUUAACCGGGAGGGUGCGCCGAAAACUGGUUGGCUGGAGUAUGGGAGAGGAAAGCGGAAUUCCUGGUGUAGCGGUGAAAUGCGUAGAUAUCAGGAGGAACACCUGCGGUGUAGACAGCUUUCUGGACCAAAACUGACGCUGAGGCACGAAAGCGUGGGUAGCAAACA
rnacentral:rRNA from 1 species